CUGUGGGGUCCUCAGUCCACUCACCACUGCCACAUGCCCCAGGGAGUCCUCGGACUAGGGCCUGGGCCGGGCCCCCCUGGGUUCCUAUGGCCUGGGCGAGCAUGGUGCCCUCUUACAGCCUGGGCUGCCUGAGCAUUCCAGGCAUCCUGUCAUUCAGCAGAGAUCUUUCCUCGGUGCCUUCUCUGGAUUGGGUGGGCUGCUGAGCUCUGGGGCUGCUGCAGUGUAUUAUUUAAUAGAUGGGUGCUUCCCUGCUCUCCAGGGUCCCCCUCUGGGAGAGCCAGCACAGGAGCUAACCAGUCAGAGGAGAAGGCGGUGUAGACCAACUGGUGCAGGGGAGACCAUGGGGGUGCUGGGCAAGACAGGGACUUGGCGGAACGCAUGAGAUGAGGCAGGGCUGAGCCCCACAGGCAACUCCUCCCCCAAGAGCCGGGCAUGAGGUGCUCAGCGGAUGACCACCAGCUCCCCGAGCUGGACCACAUAUCACACAGGUUUCUGGGAUUUGCUUCUAGAAAAGCCUGACCCAAACAUUUGGAGAUGACAAGUACUCACUGGCCUGGAAGGAGGUGCUCACCAACAUGUGCUCCCGGCCCAUGCAGAUGGCACUUUACUUCUGCUCGGGGCUGCUGCAGGACCUGGCACAGUUCGGGCACUAUGCGCUCAUCAUGCCCCUGUACACACACUUCACCCACAGUGGGUGCUCGGUGGCCCAAGACCAUUCAGCGGUGAUGGUGGAGGUCCAAAGGUCGGGCGACCCAAGCGUAGGGGAACCUGACCUGAGAACUCUAUGGGCCGGUGCUGCGGAAGCUGCAGGGGGUCUACAGCCAGCCCUGGACACAGCCGAGAGGAGGGCGCUGACCUCGGAGGGCUGCUUUCUGCUGCCCUGGGAGCUGGGUGCUGGGGUCCUAAUCUGUCGUCUGGGGUGGAGGACCAUGCAGCUCAUCCCCCAGCCAUCACCAUUCCCCCCUGCCCGCCCCCCACCCUCAUGCCCCAUACAACACCGCCCACGACCCCGCCCCCUCUUCCCAGGCUAUAGGGAGCGACUAGACAUGGCGCCCGAUACCCUGCAGAAGCAGGCAGACCACUGCAAUGACGGCCGCAUGGCGUCCAAGCACAUGAAGGAACUCAGCACUGGUCUCUUCUUUGCCAUUCUGGUCAAGGUGAGCCCUCCAGCCUGGUGCCCCUCCCCUCCCUCUGGCUCCCGACCCUCCUGGGCACCUGCUCACCAGGAGGCCUCGAGGAGCCCAGGGCAGUGCCAGGAGGUGCCAUGGCUGCAGCACUGUCCCUGCAGGAGAGUGGCCCCCUGGAGUCAGAAGCCAUGGUGAUGGGCGUCCUGAAGCAAGCCUUCGACGUGCUGGUGCUGCGCUACAGCGUGCAGAAGCGCAUCUAGUGCAACGUGAGUGCCCUGGGAGAGCCCAGGGUGGGGAGGGGGGCAGCCCAAGCCAUCCCGCACUGGAGGGGCACAGGCUGUGAUGGGUCACACUCCACCCCUCGCUCCCCCAGCCCUAGCACAAAGCCCACCUGAUGGGCCUUGCUGAGACGCCCAGCUCUCCCACCUGGGAUGGUGGCUCCAGGCCCAGGGUCAGGCCUGGCCCCCUUCCCCAAGGACCCAGGAACCAGAGAGCAGGCCUCUCCAUGGCCAGUACAGCUCGGCAAGGUGUGCAGGCUUUGGGGACUGUGUUUAUAGGAACGUGAAGGAAUGAAAGGCCAGCGAAUGGUCCAUGGCCGCUCUGGAAACUGUGUCCCCUGAAGACAAGGAAGAGAGCUGUCCCUGGCUCGGCUCCUGCCCUGAGUGACUGUUGACUCACAGUUCUCUCUCCAAGGGGACAUGGGCCUGUCCUAAUGCUGCCUUAGGGGCUUGGCUCCAGCUGGCCCUGGGGUCUGCAGGUCACCACCUGCCCCUGUGCGUCGCUUUGAAUUUCCUAACAUCCAGAGUGCCCUGGGAGUGCAGUGUCCAGCCUGUUGUGUGCAGUAAACGUGGUGUUCAUAACCUGGAGCUGGGCAGAAGAGGAACGACAGAGUCCCCCUGCAGACCCUGGGGGCUCUGUAUCCUGAAGUGCAAGCCUAGCUCACCCUGCCGUGGGCCCAGCCCUGCCUGCACUGACAGAUGGCACCAGCAGGGGGCGCAGCGCUCCGCCGCCACAGUUCUCUGUCCCCACCUCAGUGCAGUCAGCCCUGGACGCCUCCACCACUUGCCCCCAAUAGCACACAGAGCCAUGGGCCUUCCCAGCCCCCACCCCUGGCCCUUGGUCACUCUCACCUGCUGCCUCAGCCGAAGGUGGCCUGGCAGGGCCUCCCUGAAUCUCCCUCCAGCCAGGCAGGGGUGGGCCAGGGCCAAGGGCCACCUCCAAGCAGUAAAGCCCUCCAGGGUGGAAGGGCAGGUGGCCCCCUCUGUGUCCCAUCCCCCUUAGUCCUGGCAAACCCUCACCUGCCUCCUGCGGUGCCCCCUGCCCUCUUCUGUGUCCCCUGGGCUCCCCCAGCACUGCAUCCUCCCGGGUAGGGUUUCAGGACCCCCAAGCCCUCCCAGCUCACCCAGACCCUUCCUGAGGGUCCUGCUUCCUGGCACCACCUUCUCUUCCUUGGGGACAACCACAGUGGAGAGAGGCGGGGCUCUGCCUGUCCUGCUAAUGCAGGGGUGCUGGCCUUCUGGGGUCCUUUAGAGAACCUGAUGAAAACUAUGAGUUUACAAGCAAGAAAUUGUCUGGCACCGUUUUCACUAACAACAUGCCCUGAAGGUGGACCCGGGCCCUCAGGUUGUAUUUUAUAAGCCUUGGGAGCGCUCAGGAUGCAUUUGACUCCCCAGCUCUGCCCUGAUCCAGGGCAUUCAUCCUGGAGCAGGCCCCCAUUACAGACAGGCGAGCAGAGGCUUCCAGAGGCCAAGGGAGGGUCCUGGGGGUCCUUCUGCAGGGCCGGAGGCAGAGUUGCACCUCGUCAUCAAGCCCUGCCAUCUUUGUCCCCUCACUGCCGGGCUCUGCACAGGUCAUCACCAUCUUCAGCCUGGUGGAGGUGGUCCUGUGGGCAGCCAUGGCCCUCUAGUAUAGUGCUGUCCUGAGGCAGCCGAGCAACCAGGGCCACCUGGGCCCCGAGGAAGAGGAGGAGGAGUAGGUCGAGUUUGAAAAGGAACCUGAGGGCUGAUGUGCUGGCCAAGCUCAGCCAAACCCUCCUGCCCCACCCCGCUAGCUUUAGGAAUAGGACCUGAUGACACCAAGGGGGAUUUUUAAUUUAGGUUUUAACAACUCAAGGGUUUGCUUUUGGUUUUACUUUUGCAUUUUAUUUAGUGUUUGCAGCUCAGUUUUUAAACAAACUGCAGGGGAGAGGAUGGAGCUGGAAGGAAGGCUGAGACCUGGCCAGCUAUGAGACCGGUUCCCCUUCUGCCCGGGCCCCACUGCCUUCUCCAGCCCAGGGAAUGGGGCCUUUUCUGCAAAUCAGUGUCAGGGAAUAAAAUCAAGUGUGGAGUGCCAUCUGGUGUGUGGGGCGCCUCUGGGAAGCCUGGGCAGCGGAAUGCCCCUUGCACCCAGGGCAAGGGACCCAGUUCAGGCUCCACCCCUCACUGCUGAGCCGAUGUCACCGCCCGGAACCUUCCUGUCAGUUCCAGCACGAUUCAGAGUCGGCUACGUGGCAGAUUGAUGCCGGAGUCUCAUUCUGCCUGAUUAAAAAUGGAAUUAGUAUGCAGGACUGAGAGCGCCCCCGUCACCCUGACGCAUGUGACUGUGUCCAACCCUGCCCCCACUUCCUCUCUGCACCAGCUCCGCAGGGCCUGGUGGGGGUCAUGGGUCCUGCAACACCCUCUCCCCGCAGUUCCUUGGCCAACACUCUGAAUGGCCCUGUCUAUACCCUGGGUCUGAGUCAGUGCCCUGGCAGCUCCAGGCCCAAUCCUGUGCUCUGGGGACAGAAGCAGGCCUGGGCCUCGGGGAGGGGACGAGGGCUCUCCAGUGCCUUCCCAACCUGGCCCCGUUGCCCACCCAGUGUCCUGAGCACCCAUGGAUCCCACCUGCCUUGGGGCCUGGGCAGAGCUGGCUGGCCACUGGGCAUUCCCUUCCCCAGCCAGCCUGACCCCAGCCUGCACUCCUCCCCCUCUGUGGGGGAAGCUCUGUGGCUUGGCGUCCCCGAGAGCUGCUAGAAACUAGGAUGAAAGCCAUGGUGAGCACGGCCUCUGUUCCCCCGCACCAUUUCCUGGGGUGUCGGGAUUAACAAGCUCAUUUGAUCUGGUUACAGUGAAUUUUCUUCAAAGAAACACUCAAUAGGGUCCCUUGUCAGAGUGCCUCGCAGCGCCUGAAUGACAGUGACUGGGUAUGGCUGCCUUUGUUAUGCCACUGUCAGAUGGGGCUGGCUGUGGGAGGCGACCAAAGACAUCCCACACCUGCCCUGGGAGCCUUUCCCUCCUCCAGGGCUCAGCCACCUCAGGCGGCCUUCAGUCUGUGUGUCCUGCCACCCCCGAGAUGUCCCAGAGGCCACGGUCACCCCAUCUGUUCCUGUCCCCAGAACCUUCUCCUGCAGCCAAGUAUCUGCAGGGACAGACAGGCGAGCGUCUGGGGGUUUGGUGUUGGGGUGGAGAAGGCUGUGGGGUGCUGCCCCAGCCCAGGCAGCCUGACUGUGAGAGCCCCAAACAGGAGACAUCCCAGCCCCUUCCCCUCCCCUCCACGCUGCCCACCCUCUGAGGAGCAGUGGCCAAGUUCCUCUCUGGGCUUCUCAGGCCAGGCUGGCCCUGUCCCCCAGGGCAUCCCACGAAGCAUGGGAGCUAUUCCCUCACAGGGAGCACAGACCUGGACGGACACCUGUCCCUAUGUCCCAGCGCCCCCAGGCCCCAGUAAGGAGUAGCCAGGGGGGUAAACAAGGGGGUUCCUGCUGCCUGGGCUUGUUUGGGAAGCAGAUGCUGGGCUCAAAGUUUCUUCAGAGAGCCUCACCUUCCGUGCUGGCCCCAGAGCAUGGCGGGUCCCUGGAGCUGUGGAGGCCAUGGCAGCCCCAGCCCCACCCCACCCCAUCCGGGGGAAGUGGAAACCGUAUCCACGAGGGUCAGGUCAGGUCUCUGCCUCCAGUGACCUGGCAAGGUUGUGCCCAGCCAGGACCUGGGCUCAGGCCCAGGCAGCCGCCACACCCUACCCAGAGCUCAGAGAAGGCAGCCCAGCCUUCUCCCCACACCAGUCACACCGAGCCCCCCGUCUGCAUUCACUCCUUUAAGGAACAUGGCUGACUGAAUCCGGUGCCGCGCAUUCCCAGGAUGGCUCUCCAUGGGUCCACUGGGGCCCAGCCUCUUAUGUGGCCCCUCGCUAAAAGGACUCAACAGAAAGAGUGACCAGACACCGACCCUCAUCUAAAGGAGGACUUGGCCAUUCCCUGGGCUGUCCCACAGCACCUGCCAGCCAGGGCCCGGGCACAGAGCGAGACUGUCUUUUCCUCAAGGAGACACCGUGGGGGAGGGAGGGAGGGGUAGACACCACCAACCUCAUUCCAUGACCAGGGCCUGGCGAUGCUCAGAGGCCAGUGAGUGUGUCCCCGCCCUGAAGGGUCAGUACCGGCCCCCUGGACCUAGGGGGAAGAUGGUGCAGGCAGUGACCGGGCCUGGGGAAGGAGCUGAAGCUCCCAGAGCUUGCAGCCACCCUCCUGGGGAGAGACUGACGCCUCCCCAGUUCCUGUUAGGAAGGACCUCAGGAAAGAACUGGAAUCACACAGCCUGGGGUGGCAGCCUCCUGGCCCCUGAGGAGGAUGUCAGGCCGCAGAAGGGAGGCACAGGCAUGAAGCUUGGGAAGGGGGCACCAGAGGAGGCAAGGCCUGUGCAGAAGCAGCACCAGAGGCCACUGCAGCGGCUCCACCACCCAGCAGCACCGCCAGGAGGCAGGAAGUGGGAGGCCAGGCAGGAGGGGCUGUGCUCGCCCAGGUGCCAGGAGGAAGGGCUGAGAGGGGACAGUGCAGAUGUCCAGAGAGGCCUGGCGGGGAUGGGCCGCCAAAGUCACAGGUGGGAUGGGCUUUCUCCAGGGAGUUCUACAGCACAGAUGGUGCCGCUGGCCUGGCUGUGGCCAGCUCUGCACAUGAGCCUACCCCAGUCCUUGCUGGGCACGGACCAAAGAAUGGUUCCUGGGUUGGAAUCACAGAAUUCAGGGGCUAAUGGCAGUCGGGAUGGGAAUUGGGAGGGGGGACGUGAAUUAAAUAUUUGAGCCCUGGUGGAGGCUAUACAGGAUGUUCACGUUAAAGAAGGUUCUGGAGAAGGG
ensembl:lincRNA